CCUACGGGAGGCAGCAGUGGGGAAUAUUGCACAAUGGGGGAAACACUGAUGCAGCGACGCCGCGUGAGCGAUGCAGUAUUUCGGUAUGUAAAGCUCUAUCAGCAGGGAAGAAAAUGACGGUAGCUGACUAAGAAGCCCCGGCUAACUACGUGCCAGCAGCCGCGGUAAUACGUAGGGGGCAAGCGUUAUCCUGAUUGACUGGGUGUAAAGGAAGCGUAGACGGUCCUGAAAGCCAGAUGUGAAAGCCCGGUGCUCAACCCCGGGACUGCAUUUUGACCUGUAAGGCUAGAGUGUCGUAGAGGCAGGCAGAAUUCCUAGUGUAGCGGUGAAAUGCGUAGAUAUUAGGAGGAACACCAGUGGCGAAGGCGGCCUGCUGGACGAUGACUGACGUUGAGGCUCGAAAGCGUGGGGAGCAAACAGGAUUAGAUACCCUUGUAGUC
rnacentral:rRNA from 1 species